rnacentral:rRNA from 1 species
GACGAACGCUGGCGGCGUGCUUAACACAUGCAAGUCGAACGGAAAGGCCCUGCUCUUGUGGGGUGCUCGAGUGGCGAACGGGUGAGUAACACGUGAGUAACCUGCCCUUGACUUUGGGAUAACUUCAGGAAACUCGGGCUCAUACCGGAUAGGAGCUCUUGCUGCACGGUGGGGGUUGGAAAGUUUCGGCGGUUGGGGAUGGACUCGCGGCUUAUCAGCUUGAUGGUCGGGUAGUGGCAUACCAAGGCUUUGACGGGUAGCCGGCCUGAGAGGGUGGCCGGCCACAAUGGGACUAAGAUACGGCCCAGACGCGUACGGGAGGCAGCAGUGGAGAAUAUGGCACAAUGAGCGGAAGCCUGAUGCGGCAGCGCCGCGAGCGGGAUGACGGCCUUCGGGUUGUGAACCGCUUUCGCCUGUGACGAGGCGUGAGUGACGGUAAUGGGUAAAGAAGCACCGGCUAACUACGUG